CACCAGACUCCUACGGGAGGCAGCAGUGGGGAAUAUUGGGCAAUGGGCGCAAGCCUUACCCAGCAACGCCGCGUGAAGGAAGAAGGCCCUCGGGUUGUAAACUUCUUUUGUCAGGGACGAAGCAAGUGACGGUACCUGACGAAUAAGCCACGGCUAACUACGUGCCAGCAGCCACGGUAAUACGUAGGUGGCAAGCGUUAUCCGGAUUUACUGGGUGUAAAGGGCGUGUAGGCGGGGAAGCAAGUCAGAUGUGAAAUUCCAGGGCUCAACCCUGGAACUGCAUUUGAAACUGUUUUUCUUGAGUGCUGGAGAGGCAAUCGGAAUUCCGUGUGUAGCGGUGAAAUGCGUAGAUAUACGGAGGAACACCAGUGGCGAAGGCGGAUUGCUGGACAGUAACUGACGCUGAGGCGCGAAAGCGUGGGGAGCAAACAGGAUUAGAUACCCGGUA
rnacentral:rRNA from 1 species